rnacentral:rRNA from 1 species
CCUACGGGUGGCAGCAGUGGGGAAUAUUGGACAAUGGGCGAAAGCCUGAUCCAGCCAUGCCGCGUGUGUGAAGAAGGCCUUCGGGUUGUAAAGCACUUUCAGUGGGGAAGAAAGCCUUGGGGCUAAUACCCUCGAGGAAGGACAUCACCCACAGAAGAAGCACCGGCUAACUCCGUGCCAGCAGCCGCGGUAAUACGGAGGGUGCGAGCGUUAAUCGGAAUUACUGGGCGUAAAGCGCGCGUAGGCGGUCUGAUAAGCCGGUUGUGAAAGCCCCGGGCUCAACCUGGGAACGGCAUCCGGAACUGUCAGGCUAGAGUGCAGGAGAGGAAGGUAGAAUUCCCGGUGUAGCGGUGAAAUGCGUAGAGAUCGGGAGGAAUACCAGUGGCGAAGGCGGCCUUCUGGACUGACACUGACGCUGAGGUGCGAAAGCGUGGGUAGCAAACAGGAUUACAUACCCGGGUAGUC